GGAGGAAUUUUGCGCAAUGGGCGAAAGCCUGACGCAGCAACGCCGCGUGGGUGAUGAAGGCCUUCGGGUCGUAAAGCCCUUUUGUCGGGGACGACAGCGACGGUACCCGACGAAGAAGCCACGGCUAACUACGUGCCAGCAGCCGCGGUAAUACGUAGGUGGCGAGCGUUGUCCGGAUUUAUUGGGCGUAAAGGGCGCGCAGGUGGUGCGGUAAGGCUGCCGUGAAAUCUCUCGGCUCAACUGGGAGGGUGCGGUGGCGACUGCCGGACUAGAGGCACUCAGAGGCCUGUGGAAUUCCCGGUGUAGUGGUGAAAUGCGUAGAGAUCGGGAGGAACACCAGUGGCGAAGGCGGCCGGCUGGGGGUGACCUGACGCUGAGGCGCGAAAGCGUGGGGAGCGAACCGGAUUAGAUACCCGGGUAGUCCACGUCGUAAACGAUGGCCACUAGCUGCGGGGGUAUCGACCCCCUCCGUGGCGCAGCAAACGCGGUAAGUGGCCCGCCU
rnacentral:rRNA from 1 species